rnacentral:rRNA from 1 species
AGAAUCAACGCUGGCGGCGUGCCUAACACAUGCAAGUCGCACGAGAAAGUGGAGCAAUCCAUGAGUACAGUGGCGCACGGGUGAGUAACACGUGAAUCAUCUACCUUCGAGUGGGGAAUAACUGAGAGAAAUCUUAGCUAAUACCGCAUAACACUUACGAGUCAAAGCAGCAAUGCGCUUGAAGAGGAGUUCGCGGCAGAUUAGUUAGUUGGCAGGGUAAUGGCCUACCAAGACGAUGAUCUGUAUCCGGCCUGAGAGGGCGCACGGACACACUGGAACUGAACACGGUCCAGACUCCUACGGGAGGCAGCAGUGGGGAAUUUUGCGCAAUGGGGGAAACCCUGACGCAGCAACGCCGCGUGGAGGAUGAAAUCCCUUGGGAUGUAAACUCCUUUCGAUAGGGAAGAUAAUGACGGUACCUAUAGAAGAAGCCCGGCUAACUUCGCGCCAGCAGCCGCGGU